GUUGUCCGACUCUGUUGCCUCCGGGGCGACCCUGCCUUCGGGCGGGGGCUCCGGGUGGACACUUCAAACUCUUGCGUAACUUUGCAGUCUGAGUAAACUUAAUUAAUAAAUUAAAACUUUUAACAACGGAUCUCUUGGUUCUGGCAUCGAUGAAGAACGCAGCGAAAUGCGAUAAGUAAUGUGAAUUGCAGAAUUCAGUGAAUCAUCGAAUCUUUGAACGCACAUUGCGCCCCCUGGUAUUCCGGGGGGCAUGCCUGUUCGAGCGUCAUUUCACCACUCAAGCCUCGCUUGGUAUUGGGCAACGCGGUCCGCCGCGUGCCUCAAAUCGACCGGCUGGGUCUUCUGUCCCCUAAGCGUUGUGGAAACUAUUCGCUAAAGGGUGUUCGGGAGGCUACGCCGUAAAACAACCCCAUUUCUAAGGUUGACCUCGGAUCAGGUAGGGAUACCCGCUGAACUUAAGCAUA
rnacentral:rRNA from 1 species